GAUGAAGAACGUAGCGAAAUGCGAUAAGUAGUGUGAAUUGCAGAAUUCAGUGAAUCAUCGAAUCUUUGAACGCACAUUGCGCCCUUUGGUAUUCCUUAGGGCAUGCCUGUUCGAGCGUCAUUUAAACCUUCAAGCUAAGCUUGGUGUUGGGUGACUGUCCGCUUCACGGCGGACUCGCCUCAAAAUUAUUGGCGGCCGGUACAUUGGCUUCGAGCGCAGCAGAAACGCGAACUCGGGCCCGUCGUAUUGGCUCCCAGAAGCUAUCUUCACAAUUUUGACCUCGGAUCAGGUAGGGAUACCCGCUGAACUUAAGCAUAUCUAUAACGGAGGA
rnacentral:misc_RNA from 1 species